rnacentral:rRNA from 1 species
GACGAACGCUGGCGGCGUGCUUAACACAUGCAAGUCGAACGGAAAGGCCCUGCUUUCGUGGGGUGCCCGAGUGGCGAACGGGUGAGUAACACGUGAGUAACCUGCCCUUGACUUUGGGAUAACUUCAGGAAACUGGGGCUAAUACCGGAUAGGAGCUCCUGCUGCAUGGUGGGGGUUGGAAAGUUUCGGCGGUUGGGGAUGGACUCGCGGCUUAUCAGCUUGUUGGUGGGGUAGUGGCUUACCAAGGCUUGGACGGGUAGCCGGCCUGAGAGGGUGACCGGCCACAAUGGGACUGAGAUACGGCCCAGACUCCUACGGGAGGCAGCAGUGGGGAAUAUUGCACAAUGGGCGGAAGCCUGAUGCAGAAACGCCGCGUGCGGGAUGACGGCCUUCGGGUUGUAAACCGCUUUCGCCUGUGACGAAGCGUGAGUGACGGUAAUGGGUAAAGAAGCACCGGCUAACUACGUG